rnacentral:rRNA from 1 species
CUACGGGGUGCUGCAGUGAGGAAUUUUGCGCAAUGGGGGAAACCCUGACGCAGCAACGCCGCGUGAGUGAAGAAGGCCCUUGGGUCGUAAAGCUCUGUCAAUGGGGAAGAAGUUAUUAUGUGUUAAUAGCACAUUUUAUUGACGGUACCCAUGAAGGAAGCACCGGCUAGCUCCGUGCCAGCAGCCGCGGUAAUACGGGGGGUGCAAGCGUUAUUCGGAAUUAUUGGGCGUAAAGGGCAUGCAGGCGGUCCUGUCAGUCAGAUGUGAAAGCCCGGGGCUCAACCCCGGACGUGCAUUUGAAACAGGAGGACUUGAGUGCGGGAGAGGAAAGGGGAAUUCCUGGUGUAGAGGUGAAAUUCGUAGAUAUCAGGAGGAACACCGGUGGCGAAGGCGCCUUUCUGGACCGAUACUGACGCUGAGGUGCGAAGGCGUGGGUAGCGAACGGGAUUAGAUACCCUCGUAGUC